GUCUGUGGCCAUACCACUCUGAAGCGCCCAACCUCAUCUGAUCUGGGAAACUAAGCAAGGUCAGGCCUGGUUUGUACUUGCAUGGGAGAUGAUGAGGAACUCUUUGAGGCUAGAGACC
rnacentral:rRNA from 1 species